UACAGAGGGUGCGAGCGUUAAUCGGAUUUACUGGGCGUAAAGGGCGCGUAGGCGGUUUAACAGGUGUGAUGUGAAAGCCCUGGGCUUAACCUAGGAAGUGCAUCGCAAACGGUUAAACUGGAGUAGAUGAGAGGGUGGCGGAAUUUCCGGUGUAGCGGUGAAAUGCGUAGAGAUCGGAAGGAACGUCGAUGGCGAAGGCAGCCACCUGGCAUCAUACUGACGCUGAGGCGCGAAAGCGUGGGGAGCGAACAGG
rnacentral:rRNA from 1 species